GUCGAGAAUCAUUGUCAAUGCACGAAAGUGUGAACAUGCGACGCCGCGUGGAGGAAGACGGCCUUCGGGUUGUAAACUCCUGUCAGCAGGGAGGAAAGACCGCUCUAUUAAUACUAUGGCGGUUUGACAGUACCUGCAGAGGAAGUCACGGCUAACUCUGUGCCAGCAGCCGCGGUAAUACAGAGGUGGCGAACGUUGUUCGGAUUUACUGGGCGUAAAGGGUCCGCAGGCGGUUUGGUGUGUCGGAUGUGAAAGCUCACAGCUCAACUGUGGAACUGCAUUCGAAACUGCCGAACUAGAGUACUGGAGGGGAGAAGGGAACACUUGGUGUAGCGGUGAAAUGCGUAGAUAUCAAGUGGAACACCGGUGGCGAAGGCGCUUCUCUGGACAGAUACUGACGCUCAUGGACGAAAGUUAGGGUCGCGAAAGGGAUUAGAAACCCGGGUAGUCC
rnacentral:rRNA from 1 species